rnacentral:pre_miRNA from 1 species
GAGCUACUCCCUCCGUCCCAAAAUAAGUGACAUGGAAUUGUAUAGAUUCUUAUACAAAUCCAUGUCACUUAUUUUGGGACGGAGGGAGUAUUUU